rnacentral:rRNA from 2 species
UAAACUCUUGGUAAAACAACACCGACCGAGAAGAAGGGUUUUCUCUGUCAGAUGACGCUGCGCGUGCUAUACAUGCAAGUCGAGCGAACUGAUUAGAAGCUGCUUCUAUGACGUAGCGGCGGACGGGUGAGUAACACGUGGGCAACUGCCUGUAAGACUGGGAUAACUUCGGGAAACGAAGCUAAUACGGGAUAGGAUCUUCUCUUUCAUGGGAGAUGAUUGAAAGAUGGUUUCGGCUAUCACUUACAGAUGGGCCCGCGGUGCAUAGCUAGUUGGUGAGGUAACGGCUCACCAAGGCAACGAUGCAUAGCCGACCUGAGAGGGUGAUCGGCCACACUGGACUGAGACACGGCCCAGACUCCUACGGGAGGCAGCAGUAGGGAAUCUUCCGCAAUGGACGAAAGUCUGACGGAGCAACGCCGCGUGAGUGAUGAAGGCUUUCGGGUCGUAAAACUCUGUUGUUAGGGAAGAACAAGUACAAGAGUAACUGCUUGUACCUUGACGGUACCUAACCAGAAAGCCACGGCUAACUACGUGCCAGCAGCCGCGGUAAUACGUAGGUGGCAAGCGUUAUCCGGAAUUAUUGGGCGUAAAGCGCGCGCAGGCGGUUUCUUAAGUCUGAUGUGAAAGCCCACGGCUCAACCGUGGAGGGUCAUUGGAAACUGGGGAACUUGAGUGCAGAAGAGAAAAGCGGAAUUCCACGUGUAGCGGUGAAAUGCGUAGAGAUGUGGAGGAACACCAGUGGCGAAGGCGGCUUUUUGGUCUGUAACUGACGCUGAGGCGCGAAAGCGUGGGGAGCAAACAGGAUUAGAUACCCUGGUAGUCCACGCCGUAAACGAUGAGUGCUAAGUGUUAGAGGGUUUCCGCCCUUUAGUGCUGCAGCUAACGCAGUA